rnacentral:rRNA from 1 species
UCGAACGGUAGAGGGGCAACCCUUGAGAGUGGCGAACGGGUGAGUCAUUCCUCGGAACGUGCCCAGUCGUGGGGGAUAACGUAGCGAAUGCUACGCUAAUACCGCAUACGACCUGAGGGUGAAAGCGGGGGAUCGCAAGACCUCGCGCGAUUGGAGCGGCCGAUGGCAGAUUAGGUAGUUGGUGGGGUAAAGGCCUAGGGGGGGGGGGAUCUGUAGCUGGUCUGAGAGGACGACCAGCCACACUGGGACUGAGACACGGCCCAGACUCCUACGGGAGGCAGCAGUGGGGAAUUUUGGACAAUGGGCGCAAGCCUGAUCCAGCCAUACCGCGUGCGGGAAGAAGGCCUUCGGGUUGUAAACCGCUUUUGUCAGGGAAGAAAUCUUCUGGGCUAAUACCUCGGGAGGAUGACGGUACCUGAAGAAUAAGCACCGGCUAACUACGUGCCAGCAGCCGCGGUAAUACGUAGGGUGCAAGCGUUAAUCGGAAUUACUGGGCGUAAAGCGUGCGCAGGCGGUUCCAUAAGACAGAUGUGAAAUCCCCGGGCUCAACCUGGGAACUGCAUUUGUGACUGUGGGGCUAGAGUACGGUAGAGGGGGAUGGAAUUCCGCGUGUAGCAGUGAAAUGCGUAGAUAUGCGGAGGAA